rnacentral:lncRNA from 1 species
ACCAAGGAUGCGUGAGCACAAAGAAAAGACCCUCAGAGGACACAGUGAGAAAAUGGUUAUCUGCAAGCCAAGGAGAGACCAAACCUGCCGGCACCUUAAUCUUGGACUCUCAGCCUCCAGAACUAUCCAACCAAGAUUCUACCAAGAAGAUCGUGGGGGAUCCAACGAGAUGAACCCUGAUGAUCUUUGUGUGGUCUCCAAAUUGUGCGGCCACAUUUGGAGGAAGCGAGAUGACUACACAGUGAAGCACAGUGAAGGGGAGGCCUGAGGAGCCACGAAGACCGGUAGCACAUUCUGGAUUUUGUCAAGUCUUAGCCGGGUGCCCUGAGCAAGUCCCCUCGGCUGUCUUGAGCCUCAGUCUCCUUCUCUGUAAAACAGGAAUAAUAAUAACCACGUGAAUGGCACAGAG